CUUUUUUUAAAGCUCUCACAAUUCAUAAAGGGAGCUACACUUAACUUUGAACUCAAGAAAAUAAACCACAAGAGAGAAAUGAAAUGUUCUCUUUCAGACUUGCACACCUACCCCUGUGGAGCGUGCACCCUAUAAGGGAGAAGUCGCCACACUGAAAUCCAGAGUGACAAAAGAAGAUGCCACAGCAGGGACCAGGAAACAGGCCCACCCCUGAAGUGUGAGCUGUUGGUAAAAUCAGAGGAAAGGAGGCUGCCAUUCCCUUCACAGCCAAACAUUGUCAACCCAUGGGGAAGCAGGCCUUAUUCAACUCCCUAGGAUCCUUUAGAAAAAAAUCACCUCUGUAGGCUUCUUUGAUUUUCUUUCAGAAGCAAUUGCUGUCUUUCUCACUGUGUCUUUGUUGCUGCAUAAGAUUGAAGGUAUAAAUUUAUAUUUUUGUGAUGGAAAGGCUGUGUGGAAAUUCAUUGAUGAUACUUUAAAAUGUCAUCUUUGCUUCUACUAGAUUUCUUACUUAGAAUUUUUAAAAAUCAUUUUCUUGUUUAAAUAGUUUCUUUUUUAAAAAAAUGGUUACAUUAGUUUUAAAAUAGCUCUGUGAUUUUACUUUUUAUCGUAAUUAAUAAACAUUGAGAUCUUCGU
rnacentral:sRNA from 1 species